rnacentral:lncRNA from 1 species
UAUUUCCUCAUUGAUCUGCUACUGACUGAGAGAGCAAGAAAGCAAAGGAACUAACCAAUGACGAAGCUCAAAGUAUUGGAGAUUCCCCCAGGCUAGCAGGUCCAGGUACUGAAGCCCUCCACACAAAACAUACACAGCAUUGGCAGCAUCUGUUCAGGUUGCUAGCCUUUGCUGUAGCCUCUGCUGUUUCCUACACAUAGAUUUCAAAGAAGCUGUUUUCCCUGUAUCCAUGAAUACGAUCAGUCAAAGCAGCACCCAUUUGCAAAUAUACCACAUACCCUGUAAGAGGAAAUGUCAUCGUGAGGCAGCAAGAGGUUGGAAGCUUUGCAUGGUUGGAGUAGCCUGCCAUAAGACAAGAGUGAAGAGGGCUGUCCUGGAGCAAAAGGAAUUAAAUGAAAUUCUUUGUUAAUUCAAGACUGAAACUUCAAAGGGGCAAAGGAGGCUAAGAAAAUAGAAAAGCCACAAGAACUCCCACUGAAAGGGGGAUUGAACAUGGGCAGUGGGCUUCUUACCUGAGCUCUCAGUCAGACACACUGCCGCCAGUACUUAAAAACUGUCACUCUGUUUAACUUGCCUGCAUUGGUGCUGAGAACCCAUAGUGAUGGGUAUGACUAAAACUGCCUAGAUUGGAACUGCUAAACAAAAGAAGUGUUACCAUGUUAUCCAUUUGUCAUUUAAAGCAAUGUUUCUCAACCUGUGGGUCACAAGGUUGAAAAACCUUGUUUGAAAGAGUCAUGAACAAACUUUAAAAAUGGAUCAAGAAACUUUCAAAACAGAUUCUGCUUUAAAGAAAGAGAAAAACAGGGGAAACUGUGGUUUUUCCCUUGCAAGCUAUCAGAGCUCCAGCCUGUGACAGGCUGCUUGGGGCCCCUCAUGCCCCACACGGUGGGGAGAUUGGAGCCUGGAGGCAGGGGGCAGGAGUGAGAGGCACUGGGGUGGGAUUGGCCACUGAUGUUUACAAAUGGGUCCUGGUACAAAAAUGGUUGAGAACCACUGAUUUAAAGGCACGGAGAUGUAACAGUAAUAGGUGCCACAUGAGAACCUAAACUGGACAUGCCUUCUGAAAACUUUGUUUUGGGGUAACACAGCACAGUUAAAGCCCAAUUAAAGUGCAGUUAAAAAUUAAAAACCCUCUUUUAAAAUG